GACAGAGGCCUCAAGCGUUAGGCGGAAUCACUGGGCUUAAAGCGUGUGUAGGCGGAUCGUUAAGUGUCUUGUGAAAUCCCACGGCUCACCCGUGGAACGGCUGGGCAUACUGGCGAUCUUGGGCCAACUAGGGGCAACUGGAAUCAUCGGUGGAGCGGUGAAAUGCGUAGAUAUCGAGAGGAACACCUGCGGCGAAGGCGGGUUGCUGGGCUGACACUGACGCUGAUGCGCGAAAGCCAGGGGAGCGAACGGG
rnacentral:rRNA from 1 species